CCCCAGACUCCUACGGGAGGCAGCAGUGGGGAAUAUUGCACAAUGGGGGAAACCCUGAUGCAGCAACGCCGCGUGAGUGAAGAAGUAUUUCGGUAUGUAAAGCUCUAUCAGCAGGGAAGAAGAUGACGGUACCUGAUUAAGAAGCCCCGGCUAACUACGUGCCAGCAGCCGCGGUAAUACGUAGGGGGCAAGCGUUAUCCGGAUUUACUGGGUGUAAAGGGAGCGUAGACGGCAUAGCAAGUCUGAAGUGAAAGCCCAAGGCUCAACCUGUGGCCUGCAUUUGAAACUGUUUUUCUUGAGUACUGGAGAGGCAGACGGAAUUCCUAGUGUAGCGGUGAAACGCGUAGAUAUUAGGAGGAACACCAGUGGCGAAGGCGGUCUGCUGGACAGCAACUGACGCUGAGGCGCGAAAGCGUGGGGAGCAAACAGGAUUAGAUACCCCCGUAA
rnacentral:rRNA from 1 species